UACGUAGGGGGCAAGCGUUGUCCGGAAUCAUUGGGCGUAAAGAGCGUGUAGGCGGCCAGAAAAGUCCGCUGUGAAAACUCGAGGCUCAACUUCGAGCUGUCGGUGGAAACUUUCUGGCUAGAGUCCGGAAGAGGAGAAUGGAAUUCCUGGUGUAGCGGUGAAAUGCGCAGAUAUCAGGAGGAACACCAGUGGCGAAGGCGGUGCUCUGGGCCGGAACUGACGCUGAGGAGCGAAAGCGUGGGGAGCAAACAGG
rnacentral:rRNA from 1 species